GACGAACGCUGGCGGCGUGCUUAACACAUGCAAGUCGAACGGAAAGGCCCUGCUUUUGUGGGGUGCUCGAGUGGCGAACGGGUGAGUAACACGUGAGUAACCUGCCCUUGACUUUGGGAUAACUUCAGGAAACUGGGGCUAAUACCGGAUAGGAGCUCCUGCUGCAUGGUGGGGGUUGGAAAGUUUCGGCGGUUGGGGAUGGACUCGCGGCAUAUCAGCUUGUUGGUGGGGUAGUGGCUUACCAAGGCUUUGACGGGUAGCCGGCCUGAGAGGGUGACCGGCCACAUUGGGACUGAGAUACGGCACAGACUCCUACGGGAGGCAGCAGUGGGGAAUAUUGCACAAUGGGCGGAAGCCUGAUGCAGCAACGCCGCGUGCGGGAUGACGGCCUUCGGGUUGUAAACCGCUUUCGCCUGUGACGAAGCGUGAGUGACGGUAAUGGGUAAAGAAGCACCGGCUAACUACGUG
rnacentral:rRNA from 1 species